rnacentral:rRNA from 1 species
AUUGAACGCUAGCGGGAUGCCUUACACAUGCAAGUCGAACGGCAGCGCGGACUUCGGUCUGGCGGCGAGUGGCGAACGGGUGAGUAAUAUAUCGGAACGUGCCCAGUAGCGGGGGAUAACUACUCGAAAGAGUAGCUAAUACCGCAUACGCCCUACGGGGGAAAGGGGGGGAGUCGCAAGACCUCUCACUAUUGGAGCGGCCGAUAUCGGAUUAGCUAGUUGGUGGGGUAAAGGCCCACCAAGGCGACGAUCCGUAGCUGGUCUGAGAGGAUGAUCAGCCACACUGGGACUGAGACACGGCCCAGACUCCUACGGGAGGCAGCAGUGGGGAAUAUUGGACAAUGGGCGAAAGCCUGAUCCAGCAAUGCCGCGUGAGUGAUGAAGGCCUUAGGGUUGUAAAGACUCUUUUACCCGAGAUGAUAAUGACAGUAUCGGGAGAAUAAGACUCCGG